rnacentral:lncRNA from 1 species
UACUGUACUUUUCCAUAGCAUCAAUAAAUCAUUGGAAAAGAUAUACCCUGUAAAACAUUACCAACUUAGUCAAUAACAUGAUUUUAAGAUAAGGUGCAAACAAUAUAAUUACAUAAUAAGAAAGUGUAGUUAAUCAAGUAACCUGCAGCAUCCAAGGAGUAGAAAGCAGAGGGUGGCCUGACAUAAAGAAGCACAAGCUUGUUGGUAUGAUCAAUGUUAACUCUGACAAUGUUAACAAUUUUACUCUGUCAUUGAGACUGCAGGAAAAAAGGAAGAAAAGGAAAAUAUAAGCAUUAUAAUACCGAGAACUCUUCUCUUCAAGCACCAAUUAUACCUCAAAAAUCAAGAAACUAUUAAACACAUAAACGACCCUGACCAAUAAAAGUGAUUGUGUUUAUUAGGAGGAGAAUCACAUGGGUUGAAACUUUUAACAUAAAAAACAUGGUGCCAUUUACA